GCCAGUCUUCUCCUAGUGCUCUUCAGAUGAAGAUGUAGAGCUCUCAGCUCCUCCUGCACCAUGCCUGCCUGGAUGCUGCCAUACUCCUCCCACCUUGAUGAUAAUGACCUGAAUCUCUGAACCUGUGACUGGCACAGAGCUAUCAUUCUGGCCCUAAGAAGAUGAGGACAGGUCCCAUCCAUUACUGUGAAUGCCUCUCCAAGAAAUCAGUGACUGCAACUGGGUUCUCAGGUGUGUGGCCACCAGUAAUGACAAAUUGGGCUUUCACCAUGACAGUUCGUGCUCCCUUGACAGUACAUACAGAUCUCUCUUGUUGAAAUAGCAAAGAUCAUAGGUGUGGGCCAUCUUUAAUUCUUUUUGAAAAGUCACCAAAGAAAUGAAGCCACACUAUCAUGCCUCAGAGGUUUAUAGGUAUUAUCCUGCAACGUGUUUUUUUUUUUUUAAAGAUUUAUUUAUUUCAUGUAUGUGAGUACACUGCAGUUGUCUUCAGACACACCAGAAGAGGAUCCCAUUACAGAUGGUUGUGAGCCACCAUGUGACUGCUGGGAAUUCAACUCAGGACCUGGAAGAGCAGUCGGUGCUCUUAAUCCCUCAGUCAUCUCUCCAGCUCCGUUCCUAUUCUUGUAGUUUAAAAAUUAUACUAUUUUUAUGAAGGAAAAAUCCUGCCAGGCAGCAAGCAUAUCCACGUGGCCCCUGGUUUGGUAUAGCUGUCUCCUGCCAGCUUGGAUUUGAGAUUAAUUAUGAAUACAGUCAAAUGCCACUGCUGUCACCGUUUGUCUUUCUUAGGGACACAUUUGGGGGCUGCAGAGAUGCCUCGGUGGUUAAAGGUACUUACUGUAUAAUCAUGAGGAUGAGAAUUCAGGUCCUAGCACUUAGAGAACAAUCUAGGCGUCUCCUUUAUGCCUAUGCCUCCAGCACCAAGGGAGUCAGACGGGUUUGCUGGGGCUUGCGGUCUGAGAACACGCACCCCAGGUUCAGGAAAGCAGCCCUCGCUCAAAGCUUCUGGCUUCCAAAUAUCACUUAUACUCACACACAUAAAUACAGCUUGUUUUAAAAAACAAAAAACAUAACUUUUCAUUGAAUUCUCCCAGGGAGCAUUCUACUCUGGAGCCAAUGGAUCCCACUGUCAGCUCUGAGGACAAGACAGGCUCCCCUCCCUCAAGUGCCACCUGCGUUCAUCCACCCACUGACUCCUUGAUAGGAAAGCAUCCCUUCUCAAUGCCAUGUUUCUGACCUUGUUCUGUAGCUUGCAUUUCAAAGUGUAAUUUAAUUUUCUUGACUUCUGCCAUCCUUUUGCAGAUUAAUGGCAGAAUCAACAUCAAGAACCAGAGAGAAAAGGUUCGUAUGGGGACUAAAACCUACACCAAAGAACAGUGCUUUGAGUUGUUUUGGGUGCAGGAGAAGUUUUCUCCAACACCUAGACCCAGUUCCUGGCAGGAGGGGGAGACAGGAUGGGGACAGCCUCAGGCCCAGUGCUCAGUUACAAAUGAAACCGGCCUCUAAGAAAGUGGGUGGGCCAGGCCAUGUGGGGUCUGGAAGCAGGGAUGGGAACAGCACUAGGAGUCUUGGUUUCUCUUGGGCUGUCCUUCCAUGUGAUGGCUACAAUGUGGCUUCAUAAAGACCCCACCAGAGAAGCUGGCUGGUGGGCCCAAGUCCCCCAUCCUCCCACACGCACCGCCACACAGAGCCAGUGAUCCACAAUCAAGAGAAAAGAUAUUUAAUUAUUUCUCAGUCUAAUUACUCUUAAAGCGUUCAAAGUGUUUUCACAAGUGCAAGGGGAGGGAUUGUUCUCAGCCAACAUUUACCAGUGAUUCCGACACACGCAAAGAAACUGCCAAUCACGGUGCUUUAUACUUACUUUAAUUUCUGCACUGAAAAA